UGAGGAAUAUUGGUCAAUGGGCGAGAGCCUGAACCAGCCAAAUCGCGUGAAGGAAGACUGCCUUAUGGGUUGUAAACUUCUUUUAUACAGGAAUAAAAAAGGGGACGUGUCCCUUAUUGCAUGUACUGUAUGAAUAAGCAUCGGCUAACUCCGUGCCAGCAGCCGCGGUAAUACGGAGGAUGCGAGCGUUAUCCGGAUUUAUUGGGUUUAAAGGGUGCGCAGGCGGGCUUUUAAGUCAGCGGUGAAAUCUCGGGGCUUAACUCCGAAACUGCCGUUGAAACUGGGAGUCUUGAGUAUGGAUGAAGUAGGCGGAAUUCGUUGUGUAGCGGUGACAUGCUUAGAUAUAACGAGGAACUCCGAUUGCGUAGGCAGCUUACUAAGCCAUAACUGACGCUCAAGCACGAAAAGCGUGGGGAUCAAAACAGGAUUAGAUACCCUGGUAGUCCACGCCGUAAAACGAAUGAUUACUAGUUGUAUGCGAUAAUACCGUAUGUGACUAAAGCGAAAAGCGAUAAAGUAAAUCCACCUGGGGAGUACGCCGGCAAACGGUGAAAACUUAAAAUGAAUUGACGGGGUCAUAGCUG
rnacentral:rRNA from 1 species